rnacentral:ncRNA from 1 species
AGGUUUCAAUAUAUUUACACUAUCUUGAAUUAAGAAGGAAUCAGGUGAAAUACCUGAACGGUCCCGCCGCCGUAAUGUGGAGAAUAAGCAAAAGUCACUGGAAAACUGGGAAGACGCUUAAACAAUGAAACAGAGUCGGAAUACUUGCCUAUAUCUA